AUUGAUGCAUAUUCCCAGUUGGGCUAUAUUAGUAGCCUUUUGUUUUCGGAACCAAUUUACAGCAGAUGGUUGCAAGUGAGAUUAUUACAAGAAGAGGUCAUCCAUUCUGAAAAAGUAAUUUACUGAAACAUAUCCCAAUUUCACUGGUCCAAUCCAUUUCAUUUUUCACUCAAAAAGUCGUGCAAUGGUGACAGUAAUUUUUAUUUUUAUCUUGCGAGUCCUGCAAUUUCUUACAGUUUCCCUAGAUUACAGUUUAUUUUUCAUUUGGGGUUUUUGCAAGGAAGGAAAUGUAUUGUCUCAGAAACCUUUGUGCAGAGACGAAACUCACGGCUUUCAAGUUUACUUAUAGCAUUCCUAUCCCCAGAUUAAUGGUUUGGGUAAAUUGAACUUGGCUGGCGACUUUUUCAGAUCAUACGGGGCUCGUUUUAGGCUCAAUGAGUUCUAGGCCAUGUGUCGAGCAUAAAGUAUUUUCAUGGUCUGGCGUGAUCCACCAGUUAGAAUUUGAGCAAGUGGUGUGGUGGUGCAGAAUGAAGCUGAACUCCACCCCUAAGAUAGAACUACCCCAGAAUGGGGAUUUACAAGGAAUUCUCCAGUUUGUACCUAAUUAUCACCUCCAGUGGGCCAACGACUUUCUAUAGAAUUUUCUUUUUCGAAAAAAUCUAAAAUCUCACCUAAAGGCCCACACGUGAACUUCAUUACUCCUAUUAUUUGAGCUAACACAAACGUAUAGUUCCUCCAAUUUGAUGAUAAAUUAUUGGGAAAGGAAUCCCAAUUCUUUAUACAUAUGGUAUGGAAUCUAGCUUCAGUUUUCAUGUAACUCAUUGGACAGAGUUUAUGCAUUUUUAUUGCAAAUUCAGUCCAAGAUUCUCAUAUAAUGGUUGGCAAUUCAUGGCCUUUGUUGAGUUGAUCUUGAUCACUCUCUUUUGACUAAAGGAACAACUAGUUGCCAUUGAUUCUCCUCAACUUAUGCAAGAAUAAUGCAUGCAAUGGAGUAAUGUAUGAUAGGAAUCGUACUCUCUCAAUCAAAGAACUAUUUUUAUGAUUCCCCAUUGUCCCAUUGGUAAACCGCCUUCCUCGGAAGUGAAGCAAAAGAAAAGUGGCGAUUUCAGCUUCAUGCAGGUGAAAUUUAUCGAAGGAUUGACUCGUUUAAAACCUUACAUAUCAUGUUGUCAACAUGUCCUGUCAACAAAUUCCUGAAUUAUUUUUUUUUCGUGUAGAGAUUGCCAGUUUGAGCCACAAAACUUAUGUUGAUAUUUCCUUCUGUAUGCAUGAAGCAAUGACAGUUCAAAGAAAAUUUUUGAUUUUAGCUUUA